rnacentral:rRNA from 1 species
GCAGGAAGACGGCUCUAUGAGUUGUAAACUGCUUUUGUACGAGGGUAAUAGCUUCUACGUGUAGGGGCAUGAAAGUAUCGUACGAAUAAGGAUCGGCUAACUCCGUGCCAGCAGCCGCGGUAAUACGGAGGAUCCGAGCGUUAUCCGGAUUUAUUGGGUUUAAAGGGUGCGUAGGCUGAUUUAUAAGUCAGCGGUGAAAUGUUGAGGCUUAACCUUAAGAUUGCCGUUGAAACUGUGAGUCUUGAGUAUAGAUGAAGUAGGCGGAAUGUGUAGUGUAGCGGUGAAAUGCAUAGAUAUUACACAGAACCCCGAUUGCGAAGGCAGCUUACUAAACUAUAACUGACGCUGAUGCACGAAAGCGUGGGGAUCAAACAGGAUUAGAUACCCUGGUAGUCCACGCCGUAAACGAUGAUAACUCGCUGUUUGCGAUAUACAGCAAGCGGCCAAGCGAAAGCGAUAAGUUAUCCACCUGGGGAGUACGCCGGCAACGGUGAAACUCAAAGGAAUUGACGGGGGCCCGCACAAGCGGAGGAACAUGUGGUUUAAUUCGAUGAUACGCGAGGAACCUUACCCGGGCUUGAAAUGUAUCUGAAGACGGAUGAAAGUCCGUAGCCGGCAACGGCAGAUAUGUAGGUGCUGCAUGGUUGUCGUCAGCUCGUGCCGUGAGGUGUCGGCUUAAGUGCCAUAACGAGCGCAACCCCCGCGCCCAGUUGCCAUCGGGUAGAGCCGGGCACUCUGGGCGGACUGCCGCCGCAAGGCGCGAGGAGGGCGGGGAUGA